rnacentral:rRNA from 1 species
UAGCGGCGGACGGGUGAGUAACACGUGGGCAACCUGCCUCAUAGAGAGGAAUAGGCCUUCCGAAAGGGAGAUUAAUACCUCAUAACAUUGCAGUUUCGCAUGGAACAGCAAUUAAAGGAGCAAUCCGCUAUGAGAUGGGCCCGCGGCGCAUUAGCUAGUUGGUGAGGUAACGGCUCACCAAGGCGACGAUGCGUAGCCGACCUGAGAGGGUGAUCGGCCACAUUGGGACUGAGACACGGCCCAGACUCCUACGGGAGGGCAGCAGUGGGGAAUAUUGCACAAUGGGGGAAACCCUGAUGCCAGCAACGCCGCGUGGGUGAUGACGGCCUUCGGGUUGUAAAAGCUCUGUCUUCAGGGACGAUAAUGACGGUACCUGAGGAGGAAGCCACGGCUAACUACGUGCCAGCCGCAGC